UGAACCUUUUUGUGAACGGGGCGCCU
rnacentral:piRNA from 1 species